AUUGAACGCUGGCGGCAUGCCUUACACAUGCAAGUCGAACGGCAACAGGUCUUCGGAUGCUGACGAGUGGCGAACGGGUGAGUAAUACAUCGGAACGUGCCCGAGAGUGGGGGAUAACGAGGCGAAAGCUUUGCUAAUACCGCAUACGAUCUCAGGAUGAAAGCAGGGGACCGCAAGGCCUUGCGCUCACGGAGCGGCCGAUGGCAGAUUAGGUAGUUGGUGGGAUAAAAGCUUACCAAGCCGACGAUCUGUAGCUGGUCUGAGAGGACGACCAGCCACACUGGGACUGAGACACGGCCCAGACUCCUACGGGAGGCAGCAGUGGGGAAUUUUGGACAAUGGGCGCAAGCCUGAUCCAGCAAUGCCGCGUGCAGGAUGAAGGCCUUCGGGUUGUAAACUGCUUUUGUACGGAACGAAAAGCCCUGGGUUAAUACCCUGGGGUCAUGACGGUACCGUAAGAAUAAGCACCGGCUAACUACGUGCCAGCCGCCGCCGCAAGAC
rnacentral:rRNA from 1 species